AGUGAAGUGCCUGAAAAAGGACAAUUUUGAUAGGAUUGCUCAUGCAGGCCACCCCUGUCUUCACUU
rnacentral:tRNA from 1 species